AGUGGCGUGAUCUAGACCCGAAGCGGAGUGAUCUACCCAUGGCCAGGUUGAAGCGACGGUAAGACGUCGUGGAGGACCGAACCCACUUCAGUUGAAAAUGGAGGGGAUGAGCUGUGGGUAGGGGUGAAAGGCCAAUCAAACUCCGUGAUAGCUGGUUCUCCCCGAAAUGCAUUUAGGUGCAGCGUUGCGUGUUUCUUGCCGGAGGUAGAGCUACUGGAUGGCCGAUGGGCCCUACAAGGUUACUGACGUCAGCCAAACUCCGAAUGCCGGUAAGUGAGAGCGCAGCAGUGAGACUGUGGGGGAUAAGCUUCAUAGUCGAGAGGGAAACAGCCCAGACCACCAACUAAGGCCCCUAAGCGUGUGCUAAGUGGGAAAGGAUGUGGAGUUGCUCAGACAACCAGGAGGUUGGCUUAGAAGCAGCCAUCCUUGAAAGAGUGCGUAAUAGCUCACUGGUCAAGUGAUUCCGCGCCGACAAUGUAGCGGGGCUCAAGUACACCGCCGAAGUUGUGGCAUUCACACUAGACCCCAGCCUUCGUGGUUCAGGGGUGUGGAUGGGUAGGGGAGCGUCGUGUGGGCAGUGAAGCUGCGGUGUAAACCAGUGGUGGAGCCUACACGAGUGAGAAUGCAGGCAUGAGUAGCGAAAGACGGGUGAGAAACCCGUCCGCCGAAUGAUCAAGGGUUCCAGGGUCAAGCUAAUCUGCCCUGGGUAAGUCGGGACCUAAGGCGAGGCCGACAGGCGUAGUCGAUGGACAACGGGUUGAUAUUCCCGUACCGGCGAAGAACCGCCCAUACCAAGCGGGGGAUACUAACCGCCCGAAGCCUGCCCGAGCACCCUUGUGGUGUGAGGGUUUUGGCCUAGCGCGGGACCUGAUCCCGGGAGGUAAGCGUAUUAACAGGUGUGACGCAGGAAGGUAGCCGGGCCGGGCGAUGGUUGCCCCGGUCCAAGGAUGUAGGGACCGUGAUAGGCAAAUCCGUCACGGAGCUCUUGGAUGAGCACUCCUGAGAUCUGAUGGGACCCCCGUACGGGGGGAUCCGGUGAUCCUAUGCUGCCUAGAAAAGCAUCGGCGCGAGGUUCCAGCUGCCCGUACCCCAAACCGACACAGGUGAUCAGGUAGAGAAUACCAAGGCGAUCGAGAGAAUUAUGGUUAAGGAACUCGGCAAAAUGCCCCCGUAACUUCGGGAGAAGGGGGGCCUGCACUGUGAAGCACCAUUGCGUGUGGAGCGGCAGCGGGCCGCAGAGACCAGGGGGAAGCGACUGUUUACUAAAAACACAGGUCCGUGCGAAGUCGCAAGACGAUGUAUACGGACUGACUCCUGCCCGGUGCUGGAAGGUUAAGAGGACCGGUCAGCCGCAAGGCGAAGCCGGGAAUUUAAGCCCCAGUAAACGGCGGUGGUAACUAUAACCAUCCUAAGGUAGCGAAAUUCCUUGUCGGGUAAGUUCCGACCUGCACGAAUGGAGUAACGACUUCCCCGCUGUCUCAACCAUAAACUCGGCGAAAUUGCAGUACGAGUAAAGAUGCUCGUUACGCGCAGCAGGACGGAAAGACCCCGAGACCUUUACUAUAGUUUGGUAUUGGUGUUCGGUGUGGCUUGUGUAGGAUAGGUGGGAGACUGUGAAGCCCGGACGCCAGUUCGGGUGGAGUCAUCGUUGAAAUACCACUCUGGUCAUACUGGAUAUCUAACUUCGGCCCGUAAUCCGGGUCAGGGACAGUGCCUGAUGGGUAGUUUAACUGGGGCGGUUGCCUCCUAAAGAGUAACGGAGGCGCCCAAAGGUUCCCUCAGCCUGGUUGGCAAUCAGGUGGCGAGUGUAAGUGCACAAGGGAGCUUGACUGUGAGAGAGACAUCUCAAGCAGGGACGAAAGUCGGGACUAGUGAUCCGGCGGUACAUUGUGGAAUGGCCGUCGCUCAACGGAUAAAAGGUACCUCGGGGAUAACAGGCUGAUCUUGCCCAAGAGUCCAUAUCGACGGCAUGGUUUGGCACCUCGAUGUCGGCUCGUCGCAUCCUGGGGCUGGAGUAGGUCCCAAGGGUUGGGCUGUUCGCCCAUUAAAGCGGUACGCGAGCUGGGUUUAGAACGUCGUGAGACAGUUCGGUCCCUAUCCGCUGCGCGCGCAGGAAAUUUGAGAAGGGCUGUCCUUAGUACGAGAGGACCGGGACGGACGAACCUCUGGUGUGUCAGUUGUACUGCCAAGUGCACCGCUGAUUAGCUACGUUCGGAUGGGAUAACCGCUGAAAGCAUCUAAGCGGGAAGCCUGCUUCAAGAUGAGAUUUCCAUACACCUAGCGUGUGAGAGGCCCCCAGCCAGACCACUGGGUUGAUAGGCCGGAUGUGGAAGCGGGGACUAAAGACCCGUGAAGCUGACCGGUACUAAUAGGCCGACAACUUACACCA
rnacentral:rRNA from 1 species